rnacentral:sRNA from 1 species
AAAAAAAGAUAUUAUUUGUAGUGGUAACUUUAUUAGAGUAACAAAAAGAGAAGAAGAAGUGUGAGCGAAUGUAAAAUAAAACCCAUUUAUCAUUACUAAUUUUAUUUUCUUGCUGAUUUGUAUUUUAUGCAUCAUUCACAGUAUCCAAGUUAAGUAAUCAGAGAGAGAAAGAGGAUAGUUCCGGAGAGCGAAGUUCAGAGGGAGGCAAGCAAGCUUGGAUACCCGAAGAAGAAGAACAACAACAACAAGAAGGGAAAGGGAAGCUUCAAGAACAAGUAAACUUUUAAAAAAAGUUUGAUUAUUAUGCAUAUGCUUUUUCGUUUCUGGUUUAUGGUUUGAAAAAGACUCAGAAUAUUAUGGUUAAUUUGUAUGAAAGACUAAGAAGAGUUUAUGGUUGAUUUGAAUACUCGUACAUUUAUGGUUUGUAUGGUUUAUGAAUGAAGAAGACUGGUAGUUAAUUAUUUAUGAUUUUUAUAUGACUCCUAUUUGCCUUGAGGAUAUGAUUUGCGCAGGACUAUAUUUUUGUAAAUCUAAAUAUAAUAUAAUUUGUUUAGUAGAUUAACUAUAUAUGACCUUAUUAUAAAUGUACAACCCUUUUUAUUAUGAUUAAGAUGUCAGUACAAAUUUCUUGUAUUACAUGGAUAGAUUAUAUAUAUUAACUUAACACAAUACAACCAAUUCUUUGGAGAAAAAAGGGAAACUUACACACU